GAUGAACGCUGGCGGCGUGCUUAACACAUGCAAGUCGAACGGAAAGGCCCAAGCUUGCUUGGGUACUCGAGUGGCGAACGGGUGAGUAACACGUGGGUGAUCUGCCCUGCACUUCGGGAUAAGCCUGGGAAACUGGGUCUAAUACCGGAUAGGACGAUGGUUUGGAUGCCAUUGUGGAAAGUUUUUUCGGUGUGGGAUGAGCUCGCGGCCUAUCAGCUUGUUGGUGGGGUAAUGGCCUACCAAGGCGUCGACGGGUAGCCGGCCUGAGAGGGUGUACGGCCACAUUAGAACUGAGAUGCGGGCCAGACUCGUGAGGGAGGCAGAAGUGGGGAAUGUUGCACAAUGGGAGCAAGCCUGAUGCAGCGAGGCCGCGUGGGCGAUGACGGCCUUCGGGUUGUAAACUCCUUUCGCUAGGGACGAAGCGUUUUUGUGACGGUACCUGGAGAAGAAGCACCGGCUAACUACGUG
rnacentral:rRNA from 1 species